rnacentral:rRNA from 1 species
UACGGAGGGUGCGAGCGUUGUCCGGAAUCACUGGGUUUAAAGGGUGCGUAGGUGGGCAGGUAAGUCAGUGGUGAAAUCUCCGGGCUUAACCCGGAAACUGCCAUUGAUACUAUUUGUCUUGAAUACUGUGGAGGUCAGCGGAAUAUGUCAUGUAGCGGUGAAAUGCUUAGAUAUGACAUAGAACACCAAUUGCGAAGGCAGCUGGCUACACAAAUAUUGACACUGAGGCACGAAAGCGUGGGGAUCAAACAGG